UAGUAUGAUUAAUUCAUACAUAAAUCACCACUAAUUAAAUAAUUAAUUAUGGGAUCUCACCAUCUCUAAUCCAUUUAAUUACCUGUAGAAUCAUACAAUUAGAAAAAAAAAAUGCACAUAGUAGUUGAUGUGGUCAUGACCUAUGCUAUAUAUUAAUUUAGAUAUGCAAAUUUACGCCAAAUAAAUAAAUAAAUAAAAACUAGCUAAGUUGAAUAAUUGAUAUGUUCAUAUGUAAUAAUUAUGUCAACGAAUUAAUAUAAUAAACAUAAUAUUGAAAGCUAGCGUAUAGAUUAGUAGUAACAUUACCAAAUCGACCGAUUGUUGAGCUG
rnacentral:misc_RNA from 1 species